UACGGAGGGUGCAAGCGUUGUCCGGAUUUAUUGGGUUUAAAGGGUGCGUAGGCGGCUUUUUAAGUCAGUGGUGAAAGACAACAGCUCAACUGUUGCAGUGCCAUUGAUACUGAAGAGCUUGAGUACAGAUGAGGUAGGCGGAAUUUAUGGUGUAGCGGCGAAAUGCAUAGAUACCAUAAAGAACACCUAUUGCGAAGGCAGCUUACUAAGCUGUAACUGACGCUGAGGCACGAAAGUGUGGGGAUCAAACAGG
rnacentral:rRNA from 1 species